UACAGAGGGUGCAAGCGUUGUUCGGAAUCAUUGGGCGUAAAGCGCACGUAGGCGGCUUAUUAAGUCGGGUGUGAAAUCCCUGGGCUCAACCCAGGACGUGCACCUGAAACUGGUAAGCUUGAGUCUCGGAGAGGUUGGUGGAAUUCCCAGUGUAGAGGUGAAAUUCGUAGAUAUUGGGAGGAACACCGGUGGCGAAGGCGGCCAACUGGACGAAGACUGACGCUGAGGUGCGAAAGCGUGGGGAUCAAACAGG
rnacentral:rRNA from 1 species